ensembl:lncRNA
GGCUGGAAGUGUAAAGGAUGGCAGUUCAGAAUCCUCUCUUGCCAGCUUGCCGUGCUGCAGUCUUGAGCUUGUGAAGCGUGCUCCUGAGGGCUUCUUUUUCGUUUGAAAGGUGGUAUUUUGUGGGAGAUGAUGCUUAACUGUGGGGCGAAAAGUAGGAUCUGGGGGAGAAAAUCCACUUGUGGGGGGAGAAAGUAGGUAUUUUGCGGGAGAAGAGGUCAUCCUUUGCGGAGAAAGUGUUAUCUUUUGAGGGAGAAAAGAGGUAUUGUGGUGGGGACAGUGUCGUAUUUGGAGAAGAAGAGGGGUAUUUGUGGGGAAACUGUCUUAUUGUCGUGAGAAGGGUGGUAUUUUGGUGGAGCAAAGGUGAUGUGUGGUGUAGAGAAGUGGUAUUUGGGGCUGUAAGGCGUCUUAGUUUGGGGAGCGCAGUGGUAUGUGGGGGGAGAGAGUGUCUUCUUUUAGGGAGCACAGUGGUGUUUUGGGGAGAAAAGUCUGAUUUGGGGGUGAAGAGUGGUUUUGUGGUCGGGAAAAUGCCUUCUUUUCUUGACGAAAGUGAGAUUUGGGUCGAGAAAGUCUCAUCUAUGGAGGAGAAAAGAGGUCCCGAGGGGAAGAAACGGUUGCAUUUUUGGGAGAAAAGUGGCGUUUUUGAGAGGAAAUAUCCUAGUUUUCAGAAGAGUGUCAUCUUGGUUAUAGAGUAGGAGGAAUUUUUUGCACACUGAGGGUGGUUACUCACUGGGAUGGGUUGCUCAAUGAGGUUUUGGAUGCCCUAUAUCUGGUGGCAU